UACGUAGGGAGCAAGCGUUGUUCGGAUUUACUGGGCGUAAAGGGCGCGUAGGCGGCGCGGUAAGUCACUUGUGAAAUCUCUGAGCUUAACUCAGAACGGCCAAGUGAUACUGCAGUGCUAGAGUGCAGAAAGGGCAAUCGGAAUUCUUGGUGUAGCGGUGAAAUGCGUAGAUAUCAAGAGGAACACCUGAGGCGAAGGCGGGUUGCUAGGCUGACACUGACGCUGAUAGCGCGAAAGCCAGGGGAGCAAACGGG
rnacentral:rRNA from 1 species